AACGGGGGGAGCUAGUGUCAUUGUGUUGACUGGGCGUAGGGUAUGUAGGUCGUGAAAAACGGUUGAAAUGAAAGACUGGAUGGUAAUCCUUUAUGUUUCAUCUUAGACUUCACUUGAGUUUUAGAAGGAUGAUGGUAUUUAUUAGGAAUGGUUAAAUAUGAGAUAAAUAAAGGACCGACAUUUGUGAAAGCAAUCAUCUGGUCAAAUACUGAGCUAAGGUACGAAGGCAGGGGAGCGAAACGG
rnacentral:rRNA from 1 species